rnacentral:misc_RNA from 1 species
GUUUGAUCAGGAACUACCCUCCUACUGCCUGAUGUAUCAUGCAGUCUUCCAUCUGCAUUAGCGGUCUCUAAACUGGCUUGAAUGGCCAUGGAGAGUUCACUCUCAGCAUUAUCACGCCUAAAUGAUUGUCCCCUUCCACGACGAUUAACCUGUUCACUACUACGGCGAUAUCGGAAACUUGUUGGUAUCUGCAAAGCAGCACUGCGUUGGGAACGCGACAUACGACCUCCAUGCUCGAGAGUAUUGUGCCUCUUCAACUCAGCUUCAGACUGGAAAACAAUAAAUUUUUUCGCAAGACAGCUCCCGUCUUCACAUAAGAAAUGAUCUCUGCGGAAGUGGAUCUCUAGGUCAUCAUAAUUCUUGUAGUAUUCGUAUUGCCCAGGGUGCUGCCUCUGGCACAUGUGACAAGUAUAAUGUUCAGUCGACAUGUGAGAAUACAACUCAUUAUCACCAUAAAAUGGGGUCCUACAGAAUUCACAAAGAGGAUGACCCAUGAAUCCACCUCUUUCACUUUCAGUACCAUCAACCUCAGAGUCACCUGUGUGUAUAUGCUGAUUCAGCUGAGCCCUUGUGUACAGCUUCUGCUCACAGAUAAAUAUCUUUCUUCCUUCCAAACAUAAGCUGCACAUGUGCAACUUGUGCUUAUGGAAC